UUAAACACUGCUAUAACUGUGAAACUAUUGAAAUCUAAAGUGACAUUAUUCAAAACAUGCGAAAAGUUAAAAAUAGACACAACGUGACACUGGGAAAAGUCAAAGGUCAAUGCGGACUUGUUAUUGUAAAACAUGUCACAAUUAGGUUAAAAUGCGGAAGCGGAUGGAGCGGACCACAGAACGGAAAUGCGAAAAAAUACGGAACGGAUGAAGAUAAAAUGCUUCCUUUCAAUGAUGUAACGACGUAGUGCUUAUUAUUUAUAACAUAUCGUAUACAUCUAUUUCAAUUAUAAGUUUGCAGUAGCCUUGUGCGGAUGCUUUUAGCGACAGCUGCAAUUGAAAUUUCGAAUUGUCGCGUGUAGCAUCACAAUAAAUAGAUAAAUUGUAUCAGUUUCACAAAGCACGUUUCUGAUGUGUUAGGCUUGUUUCAAACGUCACGCUACUCGUGUGUCGAGCGCAUUAAAAGCAAUAUAUAAUGAGAUGAAAUGCCGUUGGUGAUUGUUUAUUUCGUAGUGUAAGACAUCAGCUUUUCUAGGUUGUCAGCGACCCUAUAUAGUUCUUGCAGAAUCUUUUUCAAUUUGAAACUUCACACUAUCCUUGGAUCCCUUUUUUAACUUUUUUAACGAUGAAAAAAUAAGCAGAGAAACUACCGAUAUUCCAAGAUAAAUCCAUUGCUGAAAACACGGAAAAACAAUUCAUGACGUGGCGACAAACAUUUAUGCCCGUGAACAUGGACUCUAUAUUGCUAUACUUAUACCUUUCUCUUUUUACAUCUGCAGACUGAAAACUAGAAGUUGAGACAUCCAGCCAAGAAAAACUGCGAAUUGACGUGAACAUUUUAUGAAUAUUUUUAUUAGAAAUUCUUUUAUUGUCAAGGGUAAAGAAUUUUUUUAACAUCUUGUUAUACUUUCUUAUAAUGGAAAGUGUCAGUACUUUUGUGUUAUGGUUAUGAGUAAUGAUGUUGUCAAUUUAUUUAACCUUACAUUAUUAUUAUAGGCCCUACUUUUAUCCAGUCAAAUAAAGUAAUACAAGAUUAGUCAAUUUUAGGUUAUACUUCCAAAGUGAAAAUGUAAUUAAGAAAGUUUCCCAUUUGACCUGUUAAUAGCAAUACUUUAAUAACGAAUUGUGCAUUGUAUAGUUGUUUUCAGAACAGUAAUUGGACCUCGUAUUAUAUAGAGUUUCGGCAUAAAAAAAGGCAAUGCCGCAUGCUGUGGUGCAGUGAGUUAUCAAAAAG